AUGUAGUGCUUCCAUCUGCUGAUUUAGAGUAAGAGGAAAAGAUUGAGAGGAUCAGAAACUAUGUUUUUGUACAUUCGAUUUUGAAAGAACUAUAUUUUUCCACUUUGAGAAAACAGAUCUUCCUCUUCAAAGUCGCCUUUCUAAUUCGGUACAUCAAUAAGAAACUGACCAUUGGGAGGAUGCAGAGAUCCAUGGUGUCAGGAAACCUGGGAAAACAGUAAACAGGCCCUUGUUUCUAAAUGUGAUUUCCAGAUACUCACUAUCCAGCAACACUUUGUAAUCCAGAGGCUGUUCCUGACAACUGGGGGCAGCUGUGCCAUGUCUGUGAUUCGGAGCAUUUUUUCCAACCAUUUCAUGAAAUAUUUGUUGUAAUCCUACUUCAGGGCAGUGGCCUAAGUGGCUCAUUAUGUAAAAGAUCUGAAAUUUUCUGCUGGAUUUUUGUAUCAUUACAUAACUUUCUCAUCUUAAUUUUUUAAUUUUUGUACCAACUAACAACCUACCAAGUAUCAGUGAUUGUGAUAUGAAAUCAGACAAAAAUCCUUGCCCUCAAAGAGACCCUGACAGUCUUAUCUAAAAUCAAAUUCUUUCUUCUCUUCCUCUACUUUUUAUUUCCUGCAACACCAAUAAAUCAAAUGAUAACUAGCUAACAUCCUGUGACACCGGAACUUAUUACCAAGAAAGGUAAGUUUGUGGGAGGAAAGAAAAAACAGCUUGACAGACACUGUUUUGACUUCUUUUCAAACGUCUUAACUAAACUCAGGAUAAUCUUUAAAGUAUUUUUUACAUUAAGGAGCUUAGACUCAGAGAGCUUGUGUGUGACAUAUCCAAGGUCCCACUGCUCCUGACAGAAGUAGGAUUUAACCCAAGUCCUGUGUAACUCCACAGAGCCCACUCUAUUUUGUAGUUACACUUUAUCCUAAGAAAAGUAGUAGCAAGCAGAGUAGAGUGGCAGGUGCAUGUUAGAAUGGAAGGAAACCCCUAUUCAGAAAUUAAGAAAUGAGAAUUUUAUCUUGUUCUUAAAACAAAGUCAGCCAGGUGUGAUGGCACUCACCUGUAAUCCCAGCAGCUCAGGAGGCUGAGGCAGAAGAAUCACAGAUUCAAAGCCAUGCUCAGCAACUUAGGGAGGCUCUAAGCAACUUAGUGAGACCCUGUUCCAAAAUAAAAAAUAAAAAUGAGCUGGGGAUAUAGCUCAGUGGUUAAGCAUCUUUGCGUUCAAUCCCAGGGACUAGGAAAAAAAAAUAAUUAAAUAGCAAGAGUCAGUAAGAAUCAUAGUGAGACUGAGAAGUAAAGGUUAGUAUUUGACUCAGGACCUAUAGGGGAUUCCUGGGUCUCUUUUAAAAUUCUAGCAUCAAUUUCUUUGUUCUAUAUCAAUUUACUGGAUACCUAAUAAGAGAAUAGCACUGGGUGAGUCACCAGUACAUCACAGUGAACUAAAGUCUCUUCGGGAGAGCCAAACAAAUCCCAGAGAAGUAAACAAAAACAUAAGCAAAAUAAUUAGGUUAUCUGGAUUUCUCUGACAGGGUGACAUUUGAAUAGAUUCCCAAAGCAAACAUCUCCAGGAUGAAUUUUCUAGGCAGAAAGAAUUGCAAAUACAAAGCCUGGGGCAAGAAAGAGCUUGAUUUGUGGAAAGAAACUGAAAAAUAAGUUGUGAUGGCCUUGUAAGCACUAGCUGGAAGAUAGAAAAUGGUAUGGAAAGGUAGAUGGGAUGUUGGUUCCUCAUUCUUAAAUGGUAACACCUCACUGCAUUCACUCCAUGAGGAUUAAGCAAGAUAGAAUAUCCAGAUCACCUAGCAUAUGGGGCUGGCAGGUGGCAAGUGCAUGCCUCUGUGUGUGUGUGUGUGUGUGUGUGUGUGUUAGCCAUUUUCUGCCCCUCAUCCUGCAGGUAAGGGAGCUAAGAAUCAGAGAUAAAGUGACUUGUCUUAAGAUUGCACAUUUUGGAGGGCCUAGAACCAAACUUGUGCUACUUCAUCUCAGUGUUUUCGCUCUCUGUACUUCAGUGAAUCACUGCCAAGUGAAAGGAGUUAAUAAACCUGGUUCUGCCUAUGGGAUUGGAUAUCAUGUACAGGGAGAGGAAGGUCAGUUUCUGGGAGCGUGGGAUUACUUUGAGCAUUGAUCUAAAAACUCUUACACAAGAAUUUCUUAAGGGCAUACUUGCGUUCCAUUAAGCAUUUCUCUUUGCCAUUUCUGCUGAGCGAAAGAAGAAAAAAAAAAUCCUGCCCCACACUUUUUAAAAGCAGAAAACAAAUGGAAGUUUCAUGAAAUUGUGUGGGUGCUCUUGACUUAUUUUUAUCUAUCACCCUAAAAUGUGCCCACAUGGAAGAUAAAUAGUGUUAUUACAUUCGAUGUCUAGUACUAAGUUCCAAAAAAUGCUGACAAGUCACUAAUCCCAAUAAAAUAUAUGGAAGUUAAUUAUAACUGAAGCCCACAAAAGUCAGCCAGGAGAUUGCAAUCAACAAGAUUCACUGAAUGAACACUUUGUUCUGUGCUGUGAAGGGGACAUGCAGUUCUCUCCCCGUUCGGCUCCUGCAGUGCCAUCAUAAGUCCUAAGUACAGCCCAUGCUAAGAACAAAUGUGCCAUAACCCAGCAAAGGAAAGGAAACAUUCUCGAUGGCUUUUGCCUAAAGGAGGAGAUUCUAAAAGCCCAGAGACUGCACAGAGCCUCAUGCUAUCUGUGUAACCUUAAUCCUGAGGUCAUUCAUGCCAUUUUUUUUUUCCAAGAAGAACAUCCAUCAGGCAUUUGGCAUAGUAGCAUCUUUGCCUGAAAUAGGACUAGCUGCAAGGCCACCAGAAGUUCAGGCAGCUACCAAUGGCUCAUAAAGCCUUACGAGGAAGGCUGUGUGAGAGACUUCAAGAGCUGAGGUUCCUACAGAAGGCAACAAGAUUUUCUGCCUGGGAUUCAUAUGAUGAAUCAGCCCUGGGUCAAAGAAAAAUAUGGGGCAAGAGAACAUGAAUGAAACGAGAAGGUGUGUGGGCUUCUGCUGCUCCUCUCUGACUGGCUGGAGGGACAACAGCACAGCUACUGUCACUGGAGAGAGAACAGCACUGUUAACUCAUGAGCAGAUCAUUCAUUCAUUCACCUACUCACUCAAAAUGUAUUUUAUAUCAUGCUUCGCUGUGCAAGGGAUAUAAUUUUUCCAAUAUGUAACAUUAAUCAUUCAAGAAUUUCAUUGAGAAAUCUAUAGUUUUGUAAUUAUAAAAAUAAAUUUGGAAAUGCUGAUUACUAUAAUCUUCUUUUAGAAGACUCAUAUUGUGUAAAAAUUCUGAGAAGUUUUACACUCAAAAAAAAAAACCUGAUUUUUUUUAACCCAGUCUAAUUGACUCAUUUCAACCAAAACCUAUUAACAACUUAUGGAACUAGUAUUAUGUGAAGCACACUUUAAUAAAAGCUGCAACUCUCUAUUUAGUCAGCCCUAAAUUUAUUUUUUAAACUGUUUUGAUUUCAUAUGCACCAAUAUACCUUUGUAGAUCUCUGAAAAAUUGCUUUUCUGCUUAAGCUUAGUCUCAAAAUAAAUACAAUUUUUCUUUGGGCUUCAGUACAAAGAUAGAAAUCCUGUGUUCCUGUGAUUGAGUUUAAGUGGACUAGUAAGAGAAGGAAGGGACUUUGUGCCUCACUGAAACAAGCCAUCCCAGGCGUAUUUUCGCAUAUUCAUUGGGGUCCCAGCAAAAUGCUCGAUGCUCUUCAGGUAUGCUUAUGAGUACAUUAGAAGUCAUGAAAUUGAACCAUGCACUCAUUUAUCCUGCUUCAGGGGGGUGACAGUCUAGCAGAGGCAUAAUACAUGCACAAUGAAGAUUAUGUCACAAGGUGGCCAAUGACAUUGCCACAAGGAAAGUGCAGUUAAGUGCAAAGAAUGGUCCAGGAAGAAAAAGAUUAUCCCCACCUCAGGUGAGAAGAGAUCACAGAAGGCUUUGUGGACAAAAGUGCAUUUGCAACAGGGUCUUAUUUCAAAACAUAUUCAAAGCCAGAGGCUCUUGGUAUGUAAUAGUUCAAGGAAUUAGCUGAAAACUUCAAAAGAAAGAGAAAGAUGUCAGAAUGAAAAAUAUAUUUAGAAUAUUAUUCCUUAAAAUUGUUUGCCAUUUAGAAAACAUCUUUUGCUUUUGCAGAGUGUAGGAGAAAGUGACAUUACAUAAAAGUCAUUCCCUUCAAAAUAGCUAAGAAGUCUUAUAGGGUUAAUAAUAUCUACCCAAUAGCAGAAGAACUGGUCAUUUAAAAAAACAUUAAUAUUGGACUUUUGGCCAUGAGUAAGUAUGUUGUGAUCAUGUUGUUAGGUAAUUCCAAGUUCAAUCAUGGUUUUCCAUUUUACCUGAUGCCAAGUAUAGCUGGAAAAUGAAAGGCAAAUGUUGUAAAUAUUCCCUCAAUUGAACCCAAACUGGUAGUCUCUAGCUAAAGAAAAGAUCGCCAGAAAAUACCAAGAAUUCUUCAAAUUAGCUAGGAUGAUAAUGUUCCUGUUUUCAGUGACAGCGCAUGAAAUUACUUCACUGCGGUUUCUCAUGUCAUCCAAUAGGGCCCUCUAGUUUACAAGAGGAAUAUUAAAGGCCAUUAGUUUUAUUUUAUUUUAGCCUUUUUUACUCCUGUUCUGUCCUUUGAAUACCACUGAUAGCUUCCCUAACUAAUCACCACGUAGGUAACACAAGGAAAUGGAAGGUUCUCAUGUAAACACAGUUGAAUUAUUAAUCUUUCCCUUUAUGGAUAAUGCUUUUGUGAUCUUCUUAAGAAAUAUUUACCUCUCCCAAAGGUCACAAAUCUAUUAUCUUAAACUGAACUUUCUAACCUUCACACUGCUGUCAUUGGAGAAUCCCCCAAAAUCUCAUGUCUUAAAGGCUCAGUUACCAGCCUCAGGCAUUAUGGAGAGGUGGGAGGCCUAGUGGGAGGGAGUUAUGCUAUUGGGGUUGUACCUUUGUAGGGGAUAUUGGGACUCCAGCCACUUCCUCUCUCUCUCUUUGCUUCCUCGAUGCCCCAAGGUGAGAUCUUUGCUCUACCUCGUGCUCCCUGCCAUAAUGUUUUGCCUCACCAUAGUCCCAAACCAUGAGACCAGGUGACAUGGACUGAAACCUCUAAAACUGUGAGCCAAAAUAAGUCUUUUAAAUCCUUCCUCCUUAUAAGCUAAUUAUCUGUAUUUUGUUACAGCAACAAAAAUCUAACACAUUUUGAGCAAUAAUUUAUCUAAGAUCAAGAUUUGUUUUUUUUCUAUGUGACUAAUUGAUGCAAUACCUUCAUCAAAAAGGUCUAUUUCACUCAUUACCCUACAGUGGCACCUCUGUAAUAAACUGAGUGUCUAUGUAUAUGUGUUUUUUUUUCCUGUGUUCUAUUCUGUCCUAUUGAUUAAUUUGGCUAUCUAUGCGCCAGUACCCCACAGUUUUAAUUACUAUUAUUGUACAAUAAAUCAUGAUAAAUGGUGUGUAAGCCACAACUUUUCUCUUCUUCAAGAUUGCCUUGAGUUUGCUUGACUCUCUCCUCAGAUAUCUCUCCUCCCAUGACGGUCUCCUUGCAUGGAGGUGACAAGCAAUUGCUAUCAUCUUAUAUCUAGCCAUGACUGUUCUCCCCUGCCUAGCCCCUGCAAGUGUUUGAAAGCUUAGACUUCAGAAUAAUACCUGAAGUGCUGCUUAUGCUACAUGUCUUUUAAUGACAGCUGAUAGACCUGGCUCUAGGGCCUCACCUCCUUCCUUCUGCCCUGCCACACCCUCACAAUUCCAGCCAUACAAACUAUCUGCAUGUCCCCAAACAAAUCUUGAUUUCUCAUGCCCAUUCUGCUCAGUGCCUUUUCUUAUGCUUUUUCUCUGUCUAGAAUAUUCUUCCAACACACUGUUCAGAGGGAUCAUUUUAGAGACUUUACCAUGUUUUCAAACCCUAUAUUCAACAUAUCACAUCUCCUAUGUACCAGUCCCUAGACUGGAAGCUGGAGGUACUGCUGUAACUGAUGCUGGACCCACCCUCCAUGAGGAAAAAGGGAAAAUGAGCACUAACCAACAAAGAGCACAACCACCCUUUAAUUCAAAUGUGUAGCUGAAAAUCAGGAUGUUAGAAAAUGAUGUCUGUUGCCUUCUUGUGACUGGACAUUGGUAGAAAACAGCAUAAUAUAGGAAGACAUGAGGCAUAGUAGUGAAUUGGACAAUGUAGAACAGACUGUGGAAUUGAGGGGGUAGGUAACAAGGAAAACAGCCCAAGUUGGAGGCUGCUUUUAUAACAGAACAAUCACCAGGAAUAGACAUGUGUCAGUCUAAAGGCAAUCCUAUACAGUAUUAUUGUUGUGAAACCCAUCCUCUCAGAAACACUUAUUUUACUUUAACUCUUGAAAGGGGUCCCAAAAGGCCAUUUUAUCUUCUUACAUUAUAGGCUAACAAUAUUGAUAUGACUAAGUCAUGUUUAAACAGCUAAAUCAUGGCAGGGGAGGAGAUAGAAUCAAGGCAUAGGGGGUCCUAGAACAGAUCAGCCUUUCUCCUCCAACAGUCAACCCAGGGAAGAUCUCCUCAUAGCUGAGGGGCUAAUCUUGUUUAGAGAUCUCAUUUUUCACUUACUCAUUAGUCUCAUUCAUACACUAAAAGCUAAGAAGGACUUGCCAGGAACAGUCUGACAGUCUUUCCAACUAUACCUUGCAUAUUCAAAUUUCAUGUGCCCAUGUACAACUGUCAUGCCAAGAUAUGUUAGCUUUUUGUACUGUGACAAAUAUCUGAUAUUAUGGUUUAGAUGUGGUGUCCCCUAAAAGCUUACAUGUAAGACAAUACAAGUGGUGAACUUCUCAAUCUUGGAGAAGAAAUGAAGGAAAAAUGAUUGGAAUAUAGCUUGACUUAAUCAGUAAAUUGAUCCCUAACAGAAUUAGCUGAGUGGUAAGUGGAGUCAGGUAGGUGUGGCUGAAGGAAGUGGUUCAUUGGGGGUGUGGCUAUGGGGUAUAUAUUUUGUACCUGGAGAGCAGAGACACUAUCCCCCUCACUUUCCUUUCUAAUCAUCAUGUCAGUUGCUUCCUUCCACCACACUCUUCUGCCAUGUUGUUCUACCUCACCUUAAGCCCCAAGGAAUGGAGCCAGCCUUCUAUGGACUGAGACCUCUGAAACCAUGAGUCCACAAAUAAACUUUUCCUCUUCUACAUUGUUCUGGUCAGGUAUUUUAGUCACACCACUGAAAAAGCUGACUAAAACACAAAUUGGAACCAAGUGGAGUUGUUGCUAUGAGUAACCUGACCAUGUGAUUCAUAAGUUUUUGGAGCAUUUUGGAAUUGGUUGGAGGAAUUUUGAGAUGUUUAGCAGUGCAGGCUGGAAAUGCUUUAGAUUGUUGUAAGCAGAGCUUAAUGGCCAAUUCUGGUGGGAGCUCAGAAGACCAGAAUGCCAAUAGGAUUUUGGACAGUGAAGACAGGGCUCAAGAGGGUUCAGAAAAGGAGGACUCUAUUGGAAUUUGGAGUGCAGGCCAUUCAUGUUAUGUUCUGACUGAGAAGUCGUCUAUAUUUUGCCCAUGUCCUAAGACUUUUUAUGAAACUGAUUUUAAAAGUGGUGAAAAAAACAAGGGAGAGAAUUAAACAACAGCAGAU
rnacentral:lncRNA from 1 species